CCUACGGGAUGCAGCAGUGAGGAAUAUUGCUCAAUGGACGAGAGUCUGAACCAGCCAAGUCGCGUGAAGGAUGACUGCCCUCUGGGUUUUAAACUUCUUUUAUAUGGGAAUAAAAUGUUCCACGUGUGGGAUUUUGUAUGUACCAUACGAACAAGGAUCGCCUAACUCCGUGCCAUCAGCCGCGGUACUACGGAGGAUCCGAGCGUUAUCCGGAUUUAUUGGGUUUAACGGGAGCGUAGGUGGAUUGUUAAGUCAGUUGUGAAAGUUUGGGGCUCAACCGGAAAAUUGCAGUUGAAACUGGCAGGCGUGAGUACAGUAGAGGUGGGCAGAAUUCGUGGUGUAGCGGUGAAAUGCUUAGAUAUCACGAAGAACUCCGAUUGCGAAGGCAGCUCACUGGACUGCAACUGACACUGAGGCGCGAAAGUGUGGGUAGCAAACAGGAUUAGAUACCCCAGUAGUC
rnacentral:rRNA from 1 species